rnacentral:lncRNA from 1 species
GGGUUGUUUCUGCCAUGGAUGUUGUCAAAGAACAUCUAACUCCAGUUCAAGAGAGAACAAUGAGCAUUCUCUGUCUCUCAGGCCGUUCGUCGAUAGUGCAGUUGGGACCCUACUCACCAGCCGGUUGAAGGACUCCUCGGAGUGCAUCCUGGCUUGUCUUGAGCCUUUCUAAAUGAGAUUCUCAGAAUGGAACGGCGACCUGGUGCUGAGAAGAAUAUCACAAUGAAACAAAGUGCCACAAAGAGACAGCAUCCAUCGACGAUCAGUACCAAAGAGAAGAGGAGGCGUGGCCAACUUUCUACUAUACAGAACACUACCCAUAAUAAAAUUUGUCUCCAAUACAAAUGAAGUGGAACAGAAGAUACAGUAAAUAUGAUCUGAAAGUCUCUCAAGACAUUGUUUGGCAUCACCUACAUAAAAUAUCCUUGUAGCGAUUGGGGAGGGCCCAGAGAUGCCUGAAUGAUGAGCAGGGAAUCACUCAGAAAUUCAGACAUUGCUCGUCCUCACUCCGCGCAUUGGGCAUCAUUUGGUAUCAUUCAGGGAGAAGAGAGAGACUCACUUUCCCAAAGUGAGUACAUGAGAGACAGUCUUCUGGGAAAGCCAGGCGGAUGGGAACUCAACCAGCAGGGAUGCUUACAGCACUUAGCCGAACCCGAACUCGCAAAGUCUUCCUCUCUACUGUAUUCACAGGCAACGGGACUCUCUGCCUGGAACACCCAAAGAAAAUCAGCGCAUUGUUAGAAGGAAUUAGUUCAGCAAGACGUCCAAAUACAAGAUCAAUUUGUAAAAUCCAACCGUUUACAUCAGCAGCAAAUAAGCAGGAAGGAGACAGUGAGACACGUCUCAUACUCACAGCAUCUGGGGUUAACCUAACAACUUUUCAGAACUUU